rnacentral:rRNA from 1 species
UACAGAGGGUGCGAGCGUUGUUCGGAAUUACUGGGCGUAAAGGGCGCGUAGGCGGCGCGGUAAGUCACUUGUGAAAUCUCUGAGCUUAACUCAGAACGGCCAAGUGAUACUGCAGUGCUAGAGUGCAGAAGGGGCAAUCGGAAUUCUUGGUGUAGCGGUGAAAUGCGUAGAUAUCAAGAGGAACACCUGAGGUGAAGACGGGUUGCUGGGCUGACACUGACGCUGAGGCGCGAAAGCCAGGGGAGCAAACGGG